UUGCUUCCGGUGGGGACUUCAGGCCCCCCUGCCCUGCUCCCUCUGCCUGUCUUUUCUUGGUUUCCUGUGAAAUGCAUCCGGAAGUCAGGCUGCCAGCAGGAGCCUGGGUGGAAGACCAGAGACUGGGUAGAGAAGAUGUGUCCUGGGACAAGAAGGGCCUUUCCCACCAUGCCUAGAGAGCAGGCAGAUCUACCAACCCAGAGGAAUGGAUGGACACCAAGGAGGCAGCGUCCGUUUAGCCUACAGUUUGGUGUCGGGAGCGGGAUUGGAAUCC